CAUAUGAAUGACCAAGGUAUCUUUGAUUUUGUCAGAACUGGAAAGUAUCUAUAUACAACUGUAUGUAUAAGUAGAACGAAAUCUCUGGAGAGUCGUUUAUAAUUCCAUUUUGGUGAGUUAUAGAUAUUUUGCAAAGCUUUUGAAGCAUUUAUUUAUAAUUCUACAUAUGGAUUUCAAGAGCAAGGAAUUGUGCCUAAGCUAAGAGGUUGACCGAGGUACAACGAAGUUCCUUUUGUUUGACAUAUAAAAACUAAUUUUUAUGAUGUUUUGAACACGCAAUUGAUUCUGUCAUAAUCUUGUAAGGAUUUAUAUAAUUACAUUAAGGAUCUCAUAAAAAUUUAGUAAAUCCAUUAAUAGUUCAAAAAGUAUGGAAAUAUACUUGACAGGAACAGGAACAUUGCUAGCUUUCAUCAUUGGGGGGGAUGUUCUUCUUCAUAAAAAUUAUUAACUCCACAAUAUUAUUUCUUGUAUAAAUUGUUGUGCUAUUUAUGUUCUUAU
rnacentral:lncRNA from 1 species